rnacentral:lncRNA from 1 species
GUGUUUUCCUUUUUAAAUGCGAGGUUUCAAGAAUGUCGGUGCUCCUGCUAGAACAUGGGAAGGAUUACCUACUUCAAUUUCCUCCUGGAUCCUGACCUGGCAUAAUUAUGAGCCAGCAGAAACACAUCUGGUCACACUGCUCAAAAGGUCUGCUGCUACAGGAGGCCGCAAGCAUCUGGAACAAAAAGGUAGAGCAGGGUGGAGACGAUGUGGGAUGCAAGCAGGAAGAGGCGGGCUGCCCUGUCCCCCAAGGGGUCAAGAUGAGCCUUCAUGAAGAGGUAAGGAAAGGCCAGGAGAAGAAGUGGGCCGGGGAAGAGGAGCGGGGACAUACUUUGCCAGGGGGCGCCUGCUUGGCAGGGUCACGGUAUCUGAGAGGCAUGGCAGAUUUGGGCAAGGGUGACAUGGCUGACUCUGUGCUUUUUUAA